UGUAUAUUGACUGUACAAGGUAGCAUAGUCAUUAGUCUUUUAAUUGGAAACUUGUAUGAAUGAUUUGAUGAAAUAUAAACUGUCUCUUUAUUAAUAAUAGAAUUUAAUUUUUUAGUUAAAAAGCUAAAAUUUUUAUAAAAGACGAGAAGACCCUAUAGAGUUUAAUUUUUUAAUUUUUGUAAAUAUUAUAUAAAAAUUAUAAUUUAUAAAAAUUAAAAAUUUUGUUGGGGUGAUAGAAAAAUUUAAAAAACUUUUUUUAAAAAUUAAUAAUUUAUGAAUUUUUGAUCCAUAAUUUGAUUAAAAGAUUAAAUUACCUUAGGGAUAACAGCGUAAUAUUUUUUUUUUUAGUUCAAAUAAAAAAAAAAGUUUGCGACCCCGAUGUUGGAUUAAAAAAAAAUUUAAAUGGAAAAGUUUAAAAUUUUGAUCUGUUCGAUCAUUAAAU
rnacentral:rRNA from 1 species